rnacentral:lncRNA from 1 species
GGUUCCUUCCACGUGGGCCACGGGGCAGAAAAUUGCUUCACCGGCAUUCCGAACUCCGAUGCUCCGCCGCGGAAGUUUUUAUUUAUAUUCAUAUUCCGUCGAAUCCUGAGCUUUUUGUCGCAGAGAAUAACAAUCAGUAAUCGAACCACGCAAUCGCAGAUAACGUAACAGGGAAAAGAGACGAAGUUGAGGAAAUCUGUUUCGAUCGAUCGAUAGGGGAGCGGAUAUGACUGUCAAAAUUGUGGACGCGACGGUUGCGAGCUUCAACGAGGUGUUCGAGAAGUUCAAAUCAGAGUCGCCGAAAUUCAAAUCCAACCUCAUCCUCUU